UAUGUAGGGUGCAAGCGUUGUCCGGAAUUAUUGGGCGUAAAGAGCUCGUAGGCGGUCUGUCACGUCGGCUGUGAAACCCGAGGCUCAACCUCGGGCCUGCAGUCGAUACGGGCAGACUAGAGUUCGGGUAGGGGAGACUGGAAUUCCGUGGUGUAGCGGUGAAAUGCGCAGAUAUCAGGAGGAACAGCCGGUGGCGAAGGCGGGU
rnacentral:rRNA from 1 species